GCUUAAUCCCGCGCGGCUCAGAGAUGGGUUUCUGGACUCGCGAAGCAGCUGCAACAAGGCAUCACUCACUGUAUAAGUAUUUCCAUUUCUGAGAGCAAAAGGAAGAACUUAAGCGGGCGGCACUUGGAGUGUAAAUUGCUUUGUAGUAUUUAAAGGCAGAAUGGAUCCUGGGCAGCCGAGCUGCAACAAACCGGCAGGACUUCCUGUGAAAUCAUGACCACCAUGUGCUCUUUCAGCCUCUAUCAGUUCCUACCUCUAAGCACCUGAGAGCCAAAGCAAACCACAGGAAACCACAGACUCAAACUAAACGUCAGCUUUUCCCGGCUCUCAAGCCUGCUGGUCCCUGAACUAAAACUCACAUUAUCAACUCUACUGGUUCUUAGGCCUUUGGAGUCAGACUGGAACUACAGCAUUGACUCUUCCGGAACUCCAGCUUACUGACUACAGAUCUUGGAACUUUUCAGCUUCCACAACCAUAAUGAAAGCCAAGCAUAUUCCAUCAUUUCCUAAAACCAAGAUAGAGCACAUAUGGGAACUUGUGAAAUAAGGAUGCCCUGCGGUUGUUUUCAGGACUGAAGACAACAGCUCCACGAUCUUCUUUGGACCUUUUAAGUUGCAUUAUCCCAUAAAAUGUGGUGGAUUCAAUGUUGUAUGGCCUGUAAAACUAAGUAAUGAAGGCUGAUAUGUACCCACCUGGCUCUGUCUUGGGAUCACACAACUUGGGAGCCAAAACAGUGAGACUUAUAAGAAUCUCAAGGAUGGUGUCCCAAGGCAAACUCAUGGCAAGAUCAAGAAAGAGAAUGGCCUGUCUUGACAAGAUUUGUGGUUUUGGCUUUCGUCUGAUGGAAUGAAUUGUACACAAAUACACAGAAAUCCCACAAAUAUUAAAAUAAUUGUAUCAACUUGUAAGAAAAAGGGAAAGAAAUAGCUUAAAAUGGAAUAUUGCUAAGCCCUCAAACCUUUACAAGCAGGAAAUAGGUGUAAACAGGCUUAGGAAAAUGGAAGGUGGACUCAGGGCAGAUUGAGGAGAUCUUGGAGUGCAGCAAAGAGCCAUAGAGAGCAAUUUCCAGGGAGUAGGACUGAACUCUAACCAAAUAAUUGGCAGCAUGUGCCUGGCAUUUCAGGAUUGACAUGGACCGGUGACUACUGUGUUCCUUCCCAUUCCCCACCCUUUUGUGUAGGAUUGUCUGUAGCAGUUUCCCAAUGCCUGUUCCUCCACUUGACGUUGGGUAUUUGGAGAACAAGAAAAAUUCUCUUUUUAGGUCAGAUGUGUGACAUGUAUCACAUUGUAAAAAAGAGUGCUCAAUGAGCUGUAUUUCAGGAAUUGCACUUAAGGGGAAUUAUUUUUACCUAUAUUGGAUUAAUAUGAUAAGAUUUUGAACUUUGAGCUUAUGUAAUUAUGAAGUGAGACCUUUAGUCUUGGGGAAUGACUGUAUUUUAUAUGCGAGAGGUAUAUAAAUCACUGUGGCCUGAAGAUAGACUGUGGCAGAUUGUAUUUUUCAAAGAUUUCCUGUCACACUUUUUUUUUAUUCUUUAUUUUUCUCUUUCUUUCUCUUUCCUCUUUCUCUUUCCCUUCCUCCCUUCCUUCCUUCUUUCCUUCCUUCCUUCCUUCCUUCCUUCCUUCCUUCCUUCCUUCCUUCCUUCUUUUCUUUCUUUCUUUCUGAGAGGGUCUCACUCUGUUUCCUGGCUAGAGUGGUGUCACAUUCAUAGCUCACUGUAGCUCAAACUCCUGAGUGCAAACAAUCCUCCUACAUCAGCCUCCCAAGUAGCUUGGACCACAGGUGUGCAUCCACUCCUGGCUAAUUUUUUAAUUUUAAUUUUUGUAGAGACGGGGUCUCACUUUGUUGCUCAGACUGAUCUUGAAUUCCUGGCUUCAAGAGAUCCUGCUGCCUCAACCUCUAAACUUGCUGGGAUUGCAGGUGUGAACCACCAUGCCCAGCUACUUUCUUUUUCUUACAAUAUGCCUUUGAUGCUCUUCCCAUCAAGAGGUAUUCCUUUCCCUUGAAUAUGGGCAAGGCUGUGAUUAUUAAUGCUAUAUGACUUUUGAGAGUAGGUCAUGAAGCAUGAUACAUUUUCCUAGUUCAUUUAGGAUGCUUGCUCUUAAUACCUAGCCCCUAUGCUUGUAUAAGUCCAAGAGACCUGUUGUGGGGAGGCUCACAUGAAGAAGAACGCAGGCACCUAGCCUACAGUCUGAUUGAGCUCUCAUCUGAUAACCCAUAAGAACUUGAGAGCCUUGUGAGUAAACCAUCUUGAAUCUUUCAGGACCCAGUUGAAACACUUCAGCUGAUGCUGCAUGGAUCAUUGCGGAUUUGUGAGCAAAAUAAAUUAAUAUAGCUUUUUGUUUUAAUUAAACAAUAUUUUUUGAGACAAGAUCUCAUUUUGUCACCCAGGUGGGAGUACAGUGGCACAUUCACAGAUCACUGUAGCCUCAAAUUCCUAAGCACAGGAGGUCCUCCCACCUCAGCCUCCCCAGUAGCUGAGACCACAGCAUGUGCCACUGUGUCUGGCUAAUUUUUUAUUUUUUUGUAGAAACGGAGUCUUGCUAUGUUGCCCAGGCUGGCCUCAUGUGAUCCACUUGCCUCAGUCUUCCAAAUUGUUGGGAUUACAAGUGUGAGGCACUGCACUGAGCCCAAUAUUCCUUUUUAAGCUACUAAGUUUUGGACUGAUUUGCUUCCCAGCAGUAUACGAUUGAUAAAACACAGAAUAUAGAAUAAAAUUAAUCUCUUAUGUUGUCCUAUGAGGCUUUGUGAGAUUUAGUUUCUACCAACACCCCAAAGUCAUGUCAUACCAUUUUUCACUGUGCUUACUUUGCUUCACUGACUUUUCUCCUGUUUUCUAAAACUAGCUAGUUCUUAUCUUCAGGCUUUGUCAUUGUCAUUCCCUGCUGAGAAUAUUGUCUGUCCAAAUCUUGUAAUUCAGACUCAAAAAUAGUCUGUGGCCACUCAAUCUAAAGUAACCCACCACAAACUCUAGCCCAUCUCCCUAUUUAUUUUCAUCAUGAUAUUUAUAUCUAUCUCAUCUAAAUUUUAUCUAUUUGUCAUCUAUCUAAUUGAAAUUUCAUGUUUCUUUACUACUAAUACGCAAGCUCUGUUAAGACAGAAGUAUUUAGUUUAAUUAGAUCCCAUUUGUCAAUUUUGGUUUUUGUUGCCAUUGCUCUUGGUGUUUUAGACAUGAAGUCUUUGCCCAUGCCUAUGUUCUGAAUGGUAUUGCCUAGGUUUUUGUCUAGGAUUUUUAUGGUUUUAGGUCUAACAUUUAAGUCUUUAAUCCAUCUUGAAUUAAUUUUUGUAUAAGGCGUAAGGAAGGGAUCCAGUUUCAGCUUUCUACAUAUGGCUAGUCAGUUUUCCCAGCACUAUUUCUUAAACAGGGAAUCCUUUCCCCGUUUCUUGUUUUUGUCAGGUUUGUCAAAGAUCAGAUAGUUGUAGAUAUGUGGCAUUAUUUCUGAGGGCUCUGUUCUAUUCCAUUGGCCUAUAUCUCUGUUAUAGGGACACUUUUACACUGUUGGUGGGACUGUAAACUAGUUCAACCACUGUAGAAGUCAGUGUGGCGAUUCCUCAGGGAUCUAGAACUAGAAAUACCAUUUGACCCAGCCAUCUCAUUACUGGGUACAUACCCAAAGGAUUAUAAACCAUGUUGCUAUAAAGACACAUGCACACGUAUGUUUAUUGUGGCACUAUUCAUAAUAGCAAAGACUUGGAACCAACCCAAAUGUCCAACAAUGAUAGACUGGAUUAAGAAAAUGUGGCACAUAUACACCAUGGAAUACUAUGCAGCCAUAAAAAAUGAUGAGUUCAUGUCCUUUGUAGAGACAUGGAUGAAGCUGGAAACCAUCAUUCUCAGCAAACUAUUGCAAGGACAAAAAACUGAACACCACAUGUUCUCACUUGUAGGUAGGAAUUGAACAAUGAGAACACAUGGACACAGGAAGGAGAACAUCACACACCGGGGCCUGUUGUGAGGUGGGGGGAGCGGGGAGGGAUAGCAUUUGGAGAUAUACCUAAUGUAAAUGACGAGUUAAUGGGUGCAGCACCCCAACAUGGCACAUGUAUACAUAUGUAACAAACCUGCACGUUGUGCACAUGUACCCUAGAACUUAAAGUAUAAUAAAAAAAAAAGAAAAAAAAGAAAGACAGAAGUAUUGUUCAUCUUGUUUUCUUCCCUAAUCACGUUACCUAGAACAGUGCCUAUCAGAUAGUAGGCACUCCACAAAUAUUUGUUGACUUAAUGAACCAGUGGAAAUAAAUAUUAAUUCAGUUUUACAUUACACAGCAAAAUAGAAAUCCAAUAUUUAAUCCAGUUCAUAUUACAAAAUAAUACCUUCUUUUUAAAAAUUAAAUCCAUUAAAUUGACAUAGAAAAAUCUUCACCAUCUCAUGACUUUAUAAAAACAAAAUUGGUUUCUAUACCACUUGGAUUAUUUCUACAAAUUCUAUUUAUAUGGUUUGUGUCAAUAAACCAUAGAAAAUAAAAUUUUCAAAUAAAACUUAUAUAUUUGUUAUUUGAUCUUGUUCUACUUAUAUGAAUCUUUUAUUUCAUGCAAAUAAAACCCAAAAUAUGAUUCAGCAACUUUCAGUCUGUUUUUAGAGGCAGAGUCUUGAUAUUUCACCCAGGCUGGAGUGCAGUGUCACAAUCAUGGCUCACUUCAGGCUCAACCUCCUAGGCCCAAAAGAUUUAUUCACCUCAACCUCCUGAGUAGCUGGGAUUACAGGUGUGCACCACCAUGCCUGGAUAAGUUUUAUAGUUUUUGUAGACACAAGGUCUCGCUAUACUGCCCAGGCUGGUCUGGAACUCCUGGACUCAACUAAUCCUUCCACCUCAGCCUCCCAAAGUAUUGGAAUUACAGGUGUAAUCCACCAUGCUUGGCCAAUUUUCAUUCUUUAAUGUUAGGCUUUGAGUUUAGUAUCAAACUUUAAAACAAAAGCAACAACAACAAAAAACAAAAAACAUUUCCAAAAAAGAAAAAAAGUACUGGUAGCAGUCAAUAAAAGAAAAGACUCCAAUUUCCAGGAAUUUGGAAUGUGGAAUCCUGGCAUUAUAGAGAUACAGCUUUUUCAUCUAAUUAAUGUAUAAAAUAGUCAAUACUUUCAUUUUAUUUUCUUGGAGUUUACUCCUUUUCACCCUGAAGCCUGGGUAACAAAGCAAGUGCACAAAAAUCGUUAGAAUAACACUUUUCAACAAGAAGCAGUCCCAAAGUAAGUGAAAGGAAUUUCUUUAGUGAUUUUCUCCCUGAGGGGGAGCAGUAGUCUGAAAUCUCACUGGUAUCUAUUCUGAAAGAAUCAGGGGAUUUAUUUAUGUCAUAAUCUAGUAUUUGCAGCCUGCUUUGAUUUUCCUCGGGAUUUCCUUGGAUAUAUUUUACUGAGAGAAGUGUGAAAAGUACUUCUGAUUUGAGAAGCAUGAAAAGAAAGCCUCAGGCCAGGAGACCAUCUUCUACUCUGAGUCAUCCAUUUGCCUGUUCUGAACAACCUCUACUAUUGGCUCUUGCACAAAGAUCUCCUGAGAGUAGUUGUUGGUAGACUCUAAUUGCCUACUAUUUUUAACUCAUUCCCUUACUCCUUUGAUAAGAGUUGAGAGCCCAAGACUUUAAUGGAUUUUGCACGUAUGUCUUAUUCUAUUUACCUAAUCAUAAUGCAAUUUCACUUCAGCACAAACACAGCCAUAGCAAUCAUGACUUAAUUUUAAUUCCUAACUCACUGUAAGUAAGCCAGCUUAUGCUUUUACUAACCAAUUUCCAAUGCAUAUAAAUAAUAACACAUAUUUGGCAUAUCACAGUGCUUAGCUCUUUCUGAUGAGCAAAAGAUUAUAUAUUUAUUGGUGCUUAUCUUGAUGUUUCACAAGAUUUUUCAUUUAUUUCUAUACUGUUCCCUUAGGUUACUAGGUGCAGUCACUUUCCCUACCACCUGCUUUCCACUAUCUGCUCCUUAUCUUUUUCUUUAGAACCUUGCUUCACCUUCUUCCUCUAUUUGUGACCGCUCUGCAGGUGAUCAGGCUUCCUCCACUUUCCUUACCUUCUGAUUGUCUCAUACCAUCUUCCAUCAUUUUCCACACAUAUUACUUGCUUUAUACCAUACUGUAUUUGUAAAACACAUAAAAGAUUGCUAGUAUUUUUAUUUUAUAGAUGAUGAAACUGAAGUAUGAAAGAUAAAUGACUCACCAGAGGCUAUGAUUUGUGGGCCUUUUAGUGGGUUUAAUAGGAGGAAAGCAAAGGUGAAAUGCCAGAAUAGCGAAGGUGGAGAAAUUUGAGAUGAGUGAUAGAGACCUAAGAAAGUGGCAGUUAAAAUGGUCCAGGGCAUAAAAUGAUGUGAGGAAUAGUAGAAAGAAAAGGAGAAAAAUACCUUAAAAUUGAUGACUCUUCUGUCCUAAUAACUUCAAAGUGCAUUUCAAUUUGAAACCUUUAUCACCUCAUUGCGUGGAGGAGACAAAGGAAAGAAAACAUACAGAGCAUUUGUCUCUUCCUGAAGUUUCCUCAAUUCAUAAAAUCCCUAAGACACUAAGAGAAGAAAAUACUGUGAACAUGUUUAGUUUGAUAUUGGUUAUUGUCAUUUCUUUUCAUUCCUUCAAAUACAUUUUAUAAAUUCAAUUUCACAUAUUAUUUAACCUCAUCUACCUGACAUGAUAUUGUUCUCCUGACACAUCCUGUUUAUUAAAUAUUAAUCACAUAUUUUA
rnacentral:lncRNA from 10 species